CUCUCCCAUCCUCUCCUACUUGAGUUAUUGUCGCGGUAUAUUUAGUUAAUAAUAUUUAUAAUUUCUAGUUUAGUUAUAUAUUUUAAAUUAAAGUUUAUAUCAAGUAUUAUUUUCCACCGCUUAUUUUAUUUUUUUGGUCUUUUUAUUUUUUUUGGUUUUUGUAUAUUUUAGUUUGGCGUUCUAUUGUUUUUUUCUAAUUCCCACCCAUAUUUGUUUUGGUUAACCUUAUUGUUUUUAUUGUAGGAGGCUCGCGCGACGUUUCAUCUCUAUUCGGACUUCUUCAGGCUUUGGCCAUCCUACAGGUAUCCCUUCAAUGUUGGGGAGAUGUUGCUCCUCCAAUGUCUUCUGCCAAACUGAUCUCUGCUCUCUGUCUCCCUUUUAUACUCCGGGUUAGGGUUAGGGUUAGGGUCGCCAGUCUAUCGCAGGGUUAGGGUUAGGUGCGGGGAACUGAGCCCGUGCCGGAAAUGGCCGGGAAGGUGCCGGGAAGGUGCGGGGAACUGAGCCCGUGCCGGAAAUGGCCGGGAAGGUGCACUGUCCUUCCCCCACCCUGCCUCUGUCACGCGAUCCCAGCCGGGAUCAUAGGUACGUCUCCCCCCGCGUCUGUACCUCACUUCUCUCCACACACCGUCCAUGUGGAAAAGGUAUCCUCACGGUGUAUGUAAGUAAUAACUAGUUUUUAUGUUUAUAUUUAUAAUAUCUAAGAAGGUAUAUGUUAAUCUAUGUGUUUUCACACUGUAUGUUUUAAUUAGUUUUCUAAGUUUAUAUUUAUUUAUAGUGAAGAUAUCAAAGAAAAAAAGAAAACCCCGUGAAAACAACCCAGAAGAGUAAAGAAAAGCAAAGAAAAGGCAAAAGAAAGCAAAUGUCUUUCAAAAGAAAAAACACUGCACUUGAGCUGCAGAAAGGUCAGAGUAGGUAUGACCGGCUCUGCUCCUCCGGCCUCCUUUUAUCUCCUCCCCCGGAUCCUCUACGGAAGCAAGCCCUCCCCCUGGCUACGGCACCUCCGUACGGGCUCCCUACGUGUCUGGGCCUUCCUCUAACUGAACUCUGCUGUUUUCUUGUUGUUUGCUGCUCAAAUGUUGCCAAAAAAUCAAAAUAAAGUGUCCAACUGAACUUAAGAAGUAACAAACCAAAAGUGAAACUUAACAGAAUGUAAACAAAGUAGCCAAGAUGGCUGCCCCCAGAGAUCUACAGGUCGACAGACAUGAUCUUAUUUUCUUCUUUAUUCAGGUGUUCCAGGUAGGUAUUUUUGUUUUACAGGUGUUCCAGGUAAGUAUUUUUGUUUUACAGGUGUUCCAGGUAAGUAUUUUUGUUUUACAGGUGUUCCAGGUAAGUCUUUUGUUCUUUUUUCUCUCCUUUUUUCCACAGGUGGUCCAGGUAGGUAUAAUGUUGGUGUAGGUAUGUGUUUUAGGUAGUUUUAGGUAAGUAUAUUCAGUCAUUUCAGGUCCAGGUAAGUAUGUCUGUGUGUUGUGUUCUUUCUAGGUGAGUUUUGUCAUGUGUUUUUGCUUUGCAGGUCCUAAUUUUGUGUGUACUGUGCUCUAAAUGUAGUUAUCCUAUGUGUAUUUAUGUGUCUGGUAAGUAUUUUAUGUGUAAAUCCCCUUUAAAUGUAAAUAACUAAUGUGUGUUUAUGUUUUCAGUAAGUAUUUUAGGUGUAAGCGUCCUUUAAUUGUGAAUAUCCCAUGUGUAUCUAUGUGUCAGGUAAGUAGGUAUGGUGUAAGUGUCCUUUAAAUUUGAAACUAUGUGUGUGUUGUUAUUAACGAGCCAAUUGUGCCUGAAAUGACCAAAUAAACUGAGUGUAUCCAAU